rnacentral:rRNA from 1 species
ACAGAGGUCCCAAGCGUUGUUCGGAUUCACUGGGCGUAAAGGGUGCGUAGGCGGUCGGGUAAGUCUGACGUGAAAGCUCGUGGCUUAACCACGAAAUGGCGUCGGAUACUACUUGGCUUGAGGAUUGGAAGGGGGACUGGAAUUCUCGGUGUAGCAGUGAAAUGCGUAGAUAUCGAGAGGAACACCAGUGGCGAAGGCGAGUCCCUGGACAAAUCCUGACGCUGAGGCACGAAAGCUAGGGGAGCAAACAGGAUUAGAUACCCUGGUAGUCCUAGCCCUAAACGGUGCACGUUUGCUGUAAGAGGAAUCGACCCCUCUUGUGGCGAAGCUAACGCGUUAAACGUGCCGCCUGGGAAGUACGGUCGCAAGAUUA